UUUCCGUAGGUGAACCUGCGGAAGGAUCAUUAACACAAUCAUUGGAUUGUUUUCUAUACCUAUUCCACGUCCUACCUAUGGUCGAACGUUUGUUCUCUCUCUCUUUAUUUCUUUAAAACCACAUUCACCACUUGAACAACUUGAACUGAACAUUUCUUGCGAUUUCCCUUUGGGGGAUUCGCCGGAAAAAAGACACCAAAAACGAUAUUACAACUCUUAGCAAUGGAUAUCUUGGUUCUC
rnacentral:misc_RNA from 1 species